CAAGAUUUCCUGUACAAAUGCUAAAAUCUGGGUCCAAAGAUCCAUCAUAGAUAAGAUUAUCCCAUAAUGCUCAUUUUUGGACCCUGCAGCCACACAAUGGGGAUUGAUCUUGAUCCACCGAACAUGGGCGUGCCACAGCAUGGGUUCCCUGGACAGUCAUACAGCAUCUGAACGCACAAUGUUAUGGUUGUGAAUGAGAAUUGCCACUCAAGAGAGCCAGGAGGUUGUUUCCACAAGUGAUGGGAGGGAGCUAUAGUUCAACAUUUGGAUA